rnacentral:rRNA from 1 species
UCGUGGAGUGUUCUGUCUGGUCUAUUCCGCUAACGAGCGAGAACCUACUCUUUCGAGGUUAGGCGCUCAGGCAUGCCGCGCCCCCCCUCGUGGGGGGUGUGGCUGGAAACGUCGGGGGUUCGGUCCGGGGAGACUAGCGUCGUCAAGGCGCUGGCAGAUGGUCAAUAACA